rnacentral:lncRNA from 1 species
GAUACCUCUGCCUUCACCCAAGUGAGGCUGCUUCACUGCCUCUGAACUUCAGGCUGGACCAUCUAACUUGUGUUGGCUAACAUGCACAAAGCUACCCUUCUACCCCACAUUUUCAUCAGACCAUAGAUUCCAGUGAGGAUCCUCACACUUCAAAAGCAUCAGUAAGAGAAGAAUGUGUUGUCCCUUAUGUGCUCAUGUUAGCUAAGUUUGCUAAGUUCCAGAAACUU